rnacentral:rRNA from 1 species
CCUACGGGAGGCAGCAGUGGGGGAUAUUGCACAAUGGGCGAAACCCUGAUGCAGCGACGCCGCGUGAGUGAAGAAGGAUUUCGGUAUGUAAAGCUCUAUCAGCAGGGAAGAAAAUGAGAGUACGUGACCAAGAAGCCCCGGAUAACUACGUGCCAGCAGCCGCGGUAAUACGUAGGGGGCAAGCAUUAUCCGGUUUUACUGGGGGUAAAGGGAGCGUAGGCGGUUAGGUAAGUCUGGAGUGAAAGCCGUGGGCCCAACCGCGGAAGUGCAUUGGAAACUGUGUGACUGGAGUACAGGAGGGGCAGGCGGAAUUCCUGGUGUAGCGGUGAAAUGCGUAGAUAUAAGGAGGAACACCGGCGGCGAAGGCGGCCUGCUGGACUGAAACUGACGUUGAGGCUCGAAAGCGUGGGUAGCAAACAGGAUUAGAUACCCGUGUAGUC